rnacentral:rRNA from 1 species
AUACGUAGGGUGCGAGCGUUGUCCGGAAUUACUGGGCGUAAAGAGCUCGUAGGUGGUUUGUCGCGUCGUCUGUGAAAUUCCGGGGCUUAACUCCGGGCGUGCAGGCGAUACGGGCAUAACUUGAGUACUGUAGGGGAGACUGGAAUUCCUGGUGUAGCGGUGAAAUGCGCAGAUAUCAGGAGGAACACCGGUGGCGAAGGCGGUUCUCUGGGCUGUAACUGACGCUGAGGGGCGAAAGCAUGGGUAGCGAACAGGAUUAGAUACCCUGGUAGUCCAUGCCGUAAACGGUGGGCGCUAGGUGUAGGGGUCUUCCACGACUUCUGUGCCGUAGCUAACGCAUUAAGCGCCCCGCCUGGGGAGUACGGCCGCAAGGCUAAAACUCAAAGGAAUUGACGGGG